rnacentral:rRNA from 1 species
AUGAUGAACUGUAAAGCUGAGCGAAUACCACUGCCCACACGGCCCGUGCCGGAGGAGUGGCGGGCAAAAGCGCCCCCCUCGCAAAAGCUGCGCGCUCCCCCACGCCCAUCUACCCGGGUGCUCGUCCGCCCAUCUACCCCGACCCCGGCCCCGGCACGACGUCACGUCGCCCGCCCCCUUUCGCGGACGCCGCGGCGCGGAUGGGAUGAGAUGGGAUAUUGGGAUGGACGCGGUCAAGUAAAGUCGCCCGCGCGGCCCCACGUACGUACGCCCCGGGGGCUGGAUCCAGGGUGCCUCCAGCUGCCGCGCGCCCCCGAGCCCCGAAACCACCCGCUCCACGGCACCACGGCAUUUACUCCCUCCGUAAACCGCAGACGCGCCAGCCGGCAUCGCACUUGCCCGUUGGAUGCCACUCACUCACUGCCUCGCCACAGCCUGUCCAAAUCCAAACCAGCCUCCCUCCCCCGGCCGUAUAAAUACCACCACCAUACUGCCCGAUCAAUCCAUCAACAAACCAACCCAACCAGCAAUAGCCACCCCAAUCCAUCCAGCUCCUCCAAGCUCAGUGUCCGAGCUCAGCUCAGCUACCCACACUUCACUCAGUAG